rnacentral:rRNA from 1 species
GAUCAUGGCUCAGAUUGAACGCUGGCGGCAUGCUUUACACAUGCAAGUCGAACGGUAACAGGUCUUCGGAUGCUGACGAGUGGCGAACGGGUGAGUAAUACAUCGGAACGUGCCUAGUAGUGGGGGAUAACUACUCGAAAGAGUAGCUAAUACCGCAUGAGAUCUACGGAUGAAAGCAGGGGACCUUCGGGCCUUGUGCUACUAGAGCGGCUGAUGGCAGAUUAGGUUAG